ACGAAACAGAUCGACAGCAAUAACAGAAUCGGACGGCCGACGAAACGAAAUUAAUUCCGACCCGCUUCCGCGCAUUCACUGCCGCCGAGCUACCGCCCAUCGUUCGUCUUCACCGUUCGGCGUCCUCGCACUGUCGUCCCGUCCAACCGGCACCGGCCACGUCGUAAAGUGUCGUAAAAGACGACGACGCAUACCGCGCUGCGGUACUUCCUUCCGUUACGAAUCGCGUUCGGUGUAUUAUUUUAACACCGUAACAAUACGCGUCAUCGCCGCCGCGAGCCUCUUUAUUAGACCGCCUC